UUCUCCUUUUUUUCAUCACAAGGCUAACUUUACUUUCGUUUUAAAAUUUCCUUUCUUUAUGUACUUUGAAGGCACUCAUAGGUUUGUAAUAACUUUCAUUUCAAAAAAUAAUGUAUAAAUAUAUCUAGCAAAUAAUUUGAUUGUAAAAGAGCCUUUGGGGGUAAAGUUUGAAUUGUUGGGAUAAACUCAGCACUGUCUUUGGGGCUUUGCUUUUGCCAUUUAGAUAUCUCCAUUCCUUGCAUAUAUGUCUAUAAUUAAGUAUUUCAGAGUGUGACUUUUUUGGCUUUGUUUUUGUUUUGGGUUUGUUUGUUUCUUCCAUUGUGCUACUCUGGCUUAAGCUUUUUCAGGGGUUGGUGUUCCGAAUACACAGUGAGCUCACAGUAUAAAGACAUCAAUUAGGAGUUGACAGGUAUGGAAAACUAGUUUUGAAAAGGUAAAACUAGGUUCUAGGAUAUAUAAAUGGUUAAAAACUCACCGCAGCCUUCAGUUGACCGUAGUCCUUUUCUUUCUGUGACUUCACUGUAAAAGUGAAAGGGAAUGAGGAGAUAAUAGAAAACGUUUUGGUUAUUUUGGGAGAUUUCAGGAACAAUCAUUUUAGCAUUUCCGAGUCACUCGUUCUGACAAAGAGGUAGAUAACCAGCAGCUUGAGAUUGCCAUAAAAUAAUGGCUUAAACAUUUCAAAAGUUACAGGCUUGAGUAGAUUGGAGGGCGUUUCAAUGAAGAUCAAGAAGCGGAUUAUUCAAGGCCAUAAAACAAAGUUACUGGCAGGAAUAGGACUACAACUUACCUUUUUUAAUAGCAUUCCUGUUAGUUAAAUAUACUGUCCCCUCCUCUGUCUACCCCAGUCCACCUAUCUUUUUCCUCCUUUUUCCUAUCCUUCCUAAAAUUUUAGCCCUAAUGUGAGUUGUUAUAAUGUUGGGAUAAAAUCCUCUUUCAGGUAGAAUUUUAGUGACAAUAGUCAGGACCUUUUCAAUAUAUACUUCUCUUUGGUCCUAUUUAAGGAGGCUGUAAGUCCAACAAACCACUAAAUAGUGAAUAGGAAAUCCUGGCUUGUAAUGCUCUUUCUGUAGUUGAAGGCAUAAAUCAUUAACCCGUUUUGUGCUUCAGUUCACUCAUAAGAGGUAGGGGUGCUCCUAAGCAUCUCAAGGUAAAAAUACUUAUCUCUUGAAAUGACAUUUACUGACAAAUCCUGGCUCCACUCCUGCAGUAAUUUAUGAUGUAUACUAAAUAGGCUUAUACGGAAGGACCUUGUUCUCUUGCUGAUAAGAAUGGCUCACGUUAGAUGUGUACACUAUAUGGUUGCAUGGGACGUGGAGGAUUUAUCAGCCUCCAUUCUGCUGCCCCCAGGAAGAUCGCUGACAUGUUAAGAAUGAUCUUGCUUUCAGAUUUCACCAUAUUCAAACUAUAUUAGAUGGGCCUUAUAUAGCGUAUAUGCCUGGCUGCUGUUGUGGGAUUUGGGAACAUGAGGGGUGGGGUGAAUUGUUGUUGUUUUAGGUUUCAGUCAGACAGCCAUCCCUGUGCCCCAGUUCCCAGAAGCACAGCAGGCCUCUAGGAGCAUCCGUGGGAACGGCGCAGUCCUGACAUCACCAACUCUCCUGCUCAGGCUCAUCCCAUAUACAGAGGUCAAAGGGUGGGGUUUGAGAUUGGGGGAAGGAAUGAGAAAGUAGAAGCAAUGUCACUGCAGUGCCACUGUUGACUAGCCUUUGGUGCUUAUGUCAGUGUUUGUUUUAUUUUUUAAGUUGGCAAAAAUUUUUUGGGGGGUAAAGGUAGUGGGAGGGUGGAACAAAAACAAGCCAUUUACUGCUAGUUCAUUAUUAUUGCUAGCUCAUUAUUGGAUAUUGUUCUUUAGUAGCUAAUACAGAAUAAGUUUGAAACCUAGACCCCAAUAAUGAAGAGAAUGGGAAUAGAAAUGAAUCUCAGGAUGUUAACAAACAGAAAACAUUUGUGUGGUGGUAAUUUCCAGUUCUGCAAUAGCUGUUGUGUUUGUCACUCUGUCUCCCCUUUUCGCCCUAAUUCUUCUGUGUAUGUAUACAGUUUGAGGAAAUGUGAGUUUGCAGUCAGUCCUUUUAAAAGGACUUAAUGAAUUUAUAAACUCUUUUGCAAAAUAAAAUACCCAGUGUUUAUAUGGGCAUACAAAUGCUACCCUAUUUUAAAUGUAGGUGGCGUAUGUGUUCGUGUUUUAAUGUAUUCAGAGCCAUUGGUCAGUAAGCAGUCCAGAACAUUGAAAACUCAAGCAGCAGAGAAAUAAACUGGUAGGUGGCUGCAGAAGAAGGAAUUCUUCAGACUAAUGGCUAUUGACAAAAUCUGCAUAGGAGAAGAGACAGCAUGACAUACUACGUCAAGCAAAAGGGGCGAAAAAUGGAAACAGGACUAAGAUUCGUGGAUCUUGAUUCUAAUGGUUCUUUUGAACUCACAGAAUGGAUGAAGAUAGAUUUGACUGUCUGUUUUUUUCAAAUGGAGGAUAGAAAUACCCAGAACAAGGAAGCAGUAGCUCCAGCCUGUUUGAUUUCAUGUGUUUUCUAAAAUAAAACCACCAGAACUGGAAAUGAAA